UACGGAGGAUCCAAGCGUUAUCCGGAAUUACUGGGCGUAAAGAGUUGCGUAGGUGGCAUAGUAAGCAAGCAGUGAAAUUAUACGGCUCAACCGUAUACCCAUUGUUUGAACUGCUAAGCUUGAGCAUGAGAGAGGUAGAUGGAAUUUCUAGUGUAGGAGUGAAAUCCGUAGAUAUUAGAAGGAACACCGAUGGCGUAGGCAGUCUACUGGCUCAUUGCUGACACUAAGGCACGAAAGCGUGGGGAGCGAACGGG
rnacentral:rRNA from 2 species